ensembl:lncRNA
UUUUGUGACAUACCCAAGAGGACCAUAGUCUAUAUGAAUUCAUUUGGCGAGUCGGAGGUCAGAAAAAGUGCGGUGUUGAAAAACUGGAGGUAAUUAAUUAACAUAUUUAACAUAACAUAUUUAAUUUAAUUGAAAUCAUUACCGAACGUGGUUAUUGAUUUCUCUAUAUGCUUUUUAUUUGUAAUAACUGCGAUCUCUCAGCUCAUUUGCUUCAGCAAGAGGCUGCGCUGGAGAGUGGACCUUGUCACAUGUGAGCCACCCACAUCAACAGGAUGGGAACUCAUGUGGAGUGCAUGUCAUAAUGGUACUGAAAACUAUAGCUUUAACCUAUAUAAGUAAUGUUUACAUUUUUGCCUAUUCAGUUUUUAAAGCCUUAGAGGCAGGAUGGUAAAAUCUCAAUUUUUUUUGUAGAUUGAACCAUUUCAGCAGUAAUGCUUUGCUUUGGUUGCUCUGUUUUUUUUUUUGUUUUUUUUUUUUUUUUUUUUUUUUUUUCCUCCUCGGGGGGUUAAAAACAAACAAACAUUUCUUUGUUAAUCUAAUUCUUUUUGUUCUUUUUUUUGUUCUUUUUUUUUUUUUUUUUUUUUUUUUUUUUUCUUCGUCAAUUAUUAGUUUGCCCAAUCUCUCAUUGACGGUAAAACACAAGUGGAGGAGUACAACACUGAAAUCACAAAGCUCAGGUCCCGACUUUGCCACUACUUAUUUUCCUCAAUAGGUAAAGAUAAAAUUAGCUGCCUUCUUUUUCUCUAACAUUGGAAAAUGUAACUUGUACUUAAACAAAUUAUAUUUUGCAGAUCGAACUAGGAAGUGCAGUCAGUGCUGGUGUGUGAUUGCAGCCAAAGACCGGGUACACUAUGACAUGUCCUUAGCCAUAUAGAUUGUUUAUAUAAUGGACUUUGUUCAUUUGUUUUUUGUUUGUUUAUUUCUUCUUUUUUUUUUUUAAUUCACAGGUGCAGUGCCAGAAAUGUGGUGCAUACAAGCACAUGCGUUGUUCAAAGUCUGUUUGUGGCAUCUGUAUCUUCUGUGAGAGGCCGUAAAGCCAAACUGCCCGCAAUGAUUCUUGACAGGCCUAAGAAGGCCAAAACUAAAGUAACAGUGUUUAGUGUUCUGAGUGAAGAGGAGGCUGGGGAGCUAGCCCUCGGGUUUGCCGGAAGAUUGGCCUGCGAUGUCACAACAGACAUGGUCUGUAAAGGCAUCGACCAUUCAAGUGCUGAUAUGACAAAACAGACUCUUCUCAAAAUCCAACACAACCUUAAACAUGAGCUGACUGAUUCCUCAACCUUCAGUUUGCUGACACACACCUUUGGCCCCGCUGCACUGGAUUCUGUCAUUUCAUUCCUGUGUGAAAAACUUGAUCUUGUCUCUUAAAUAAUGAAGCCUUUUGUGACUUUUGUUUGUUCUGUAAAUCAGAAUCUUGAAAAUUGUUCAUUGUUGUUCUAAGUUUGUGUUAACUAUUUGGCAAAAAUGAUUGGUUCCUAAUCCAAACAGCAUAAUGACUGUUCUAACACAUAUCUUAAAAAUGCUACAAAGAAAGAAAAUUAUCACAUAUGUUUCAAUAUGAAUGUAAUUGUGUCACACUCGGUUUGUAGUAGCUUUCCUGUUUUAUUUUGAGUUUUGGUAUGUUUACACUGUUAUUUUUAUUUCCCGUGUGUUCGUCUUCCCUUAUUAGUUUUACUGUAUUUAAUUAGUCUGAUUUAAUAACUUAUAAUUAUUUACUUUCCAGUGUGUGUAUAUGCUCCUCGUUUGGAUUAUUGUUUGUUUGAGUUCUGCCUGUCUUUUCUAUUAAAGAUUUGGACUUUUGGACUAUUAGUGGACCUCGUAGGUUUUUAUUCUGUGCAAUUGGUAAUUGACUGGGUUUAAUUUAGUGGCCUGGAAAACAGGCCGGAGGGGUCUGGUCAUUUUAACCCCCUAAGACCCGAAAUCUUCCAUGGCAUGCAUUUUUAAUUUCUCUUUGAUAUUUGGGCCGAUUGGAACCCGAUGAAUGUAAAAAGAAAGAAUUACCAGGUUUUUUUUUUUUUGUUUUGUUUUUUUACCUAAUUUUUGUUUCUGAGAAAAAUGAGAGCCACAUAUGAGGACAUUCAUUUGAAAUUUCGAUAGAACAGUUGCAGUAUAAUGUCCUCGUAACUGUAUAUCAGGCACUUGUUGAUCAAGAUUUAGUAUUUUGGUCUAAAUAACCCAAAAUGUGAUGUCCACAUGUGUGGACGCCAGGCUGGAGUAAAGUGUUAGAGCUAUUUAUACCUAUGUAAACUUUUAUACACUGGUUUUUACCUGUCUUGUUUCAGAAAGGUUUAAAAGGGUAAUGUCCACAGUUUAUUUGUUUAUUUAUUUGUUUGAAUUCAACAUAUUUUAUUAAAGUAAUUGAGCUUGAACACAGAAAAAACUAAAUCAAAUAAUCAUAAAAUCAAAUCACUUGCACUAUACUGAAGUCUAAUCUACUCUGAGCUAAUGCCGGUUUCCAACACUAAUGAUCGGGUGAAGGAGAGAGAUGAGGGUGUGCACGGCCACUGGUGCUCUUAUCCCUGUUCUUUGUGAUACAAUCCAACAGGAAAGCAGUCAAACCCUUGGACAUUAGCCAAGUUAACGUUC